UACGACGGGGGCUAGCGUUGUUCGGAUUUACUGGGCGUAAAGCGCACGUAGGCGGAUUGUUAAGUCGGGGGUGAAAUCCUGGAGCUCAACUCCAGAACUGCCUUCGAUACUGGCAAUCUAGAGUCCGGAAGAGGUGAGUGGAACUCCUAGUGUAGAGGUGGAAUUCGUAGAUAUUAGGAAGAACACCAGUGGCGAAGGCGGCUCACUGGUCCGGUACUGACGCUGAGGUGCGAAAGCUAGGGGAGCAAACGGG
rnacentral:rRNA from 1 species